AAACCUUUUGUCAUCAUUCUACUAUGAAUUGGCAACUAUUUUUGUAAAUAACACAUAUACAGUUCAAAGGUAUUGAUAAUACUUAUACAAUCCCAUGGUAUACGUAAUAGAUCAUGCUUUUAUGGAUGCACGGGUAAUUCAUAUACCUGCUGGUCACAUCCAUGUUUCUGGCACUAUGUAUAUAACUGCCAAUUAUAAUUCAUGUAUGUCGUAGUUUAACGAAAACAGACGCCAGACGACCUUUCGCUUGUAGAGCAAAUGGUCUGUUUAUUCGUAUGUAUACCCUUCACUGCAGUACUUCUGGAUCCGUCAUUGGCUCAGAUAAUUCUCCACUGAGAUUAUAAGCAUACGCUUUUACAAACCUCAGUUGCAGGGAUUUUUGUUCAUUGGGCAGGAGUGGUAACCGUAGCCACCUGAACCUGGCCUCCCAUUGAGUACGUUCACCGCCGACGGCAUUUCGCCUGUCUGCAGCCUAUCAUCUCCCGCCAACUUCCUCGCCGGAGCUGCAGCAGCAGAGGAUGUAAUCACCAGUAGGACGAACACAAGGACUGUUGCCGCCUUCAUGCUUCACCAGCCGUGGUAUAGAUCUGUGUGCGAAAGAAACAAAAAUUGAGGAAAUGGGCUUAUCGAAUCAAAGGGGAUUUGAAGGGUGAAUUCCUUGGUAUGUUCUUGGAUCGAACCUGAAGUGCCUUGCUUAAUUGUGUUUAAUCUUGAUCUAAGUUGGAUGAUUUUUUCAAUGCGACAGAGUUGUGAUAUUUAUAGCAGGUUGGCAACUUGGCAUACAGUAGUAUACUGCUCUUGUGUAUAGAUCUUCGCCACUAGCAAGGGCAGAUAUGCAACUAGCAUGAUCGAUCGACAAUAUGAAGUGGUUUACUUGCAGGAAUUCUCUGGCUCCAUCAAUUGCAGAAAUGACAGGUGAUGGNNNNNNNNNNCUGAUGAAAUAUCUGUGUAUCUUCACUUGGAGACCUAUAUAUAGAUAGUAAAUUGUAGUUAUAUUUAGGGGCACUGUUCUAUUGCAUUGUGACGGCAACGAGCAAUAUCUGAAGGACAAAUAUGGUUUUCUAGUUGCAUGCAUCGACAUCAGAAUAUCUCUAUCAUGACUUAGUCGAAUGUGAUAAUUAUCUUGUUUUUAUUAUUACAAAUGAUGCUUUUAUUAACCUAAAAUAUAGCAUGAAAUGGAUAUGAUACAUGAUGAGGGACACUCCGCCCAGGGUUCGUCCUGAGAUUUAGGAGGACCGGGGCGGAACUAAAACAUGAGCCAUUUAAUGUAAACACCAUAACAAUGAUAAUCAUUAUAUAUAGGACGCAGAUCUUUGAAACAUGGUGCCAAUGCACCUGACUUGAAAAAAACAAUUAAAGAACUAAAUGAGUAAAUUUUAUGUAAAAUUUGUUUGUAACUAACACGGUCUAGGGUAAUACUCUUGUGGAAAGUUUCCGGGAGAAAUGACUCUGAUGGUAUUCUUAAAUAAAAUCGAAGUCUAAAAAUAUGGAUAGUAAUAUUAAUAUGGUAUCAAUUUUUUUUCUGUCUAGGAUACCAUUGUAGUCGUUCCUUCGUGAAAGUUUUCACAGAGAAUUAUGCUAAGUUAUCUUUGUUAAAGAAAGUUCCAGAAUUUGUUGACUCUUUUCGUUAUUUUUAAAACAAAAAUUUCAGUUCGGAUGGAGUGGGACCUGAGACACAUUUGCUUCGGUAGACCCCGCUCCACAAAACGUAGAAAGGAAAACGUAUACCCACCUCAUAUUGUAUAUAUUUUUAUACACUACUGGAAGCCAUACGGUUUACAUACGUAUGGUAGUCUGUAGUGUAUAAUACGAGGUGGAUAUACGAUUUCCGUUAUACAUUCUGUUGGGGGAGGGGGGGGGGGGGUUCAACCGAAGAACUACCUCUUGUAAUUUUCUGCCAUAUGUAGGACUACAUACCUGUACAAAUAUACAUUAAAUGUUAUCAAUUAAAACUUGAAUGCAUCUAAAGUAAUAUUUAUAUCACAUAACUUGUGUAUAUUACCUUAUCACAAUUCUACAUUACUCGAUGCAAAGCAACAUAAGAUGCAAACUUAACUUCAAAUUUUGGAUGCAUUUGCGCCAUUUCUCAGGAGAAAUCAUUCAUUCUCAAGGUCCACUGGAGAAAUGGUCAUUUAACUUUCUCAUAGUACUUCUCAAGGCCAAUGUUGAAUACUACUUCACUCCUGUCCUUCCGGUGCAUCUCGUUCACAGCCUCAUGUAGGAUCAUUAUUCAAAUCAAGUAUAUUCAUUCCUUGCAUGAACACCGAUUUGGCAACCAACUUGAGCCUAUUAGUACCAACUUUGGUGAAGAUUUUGAAGCUUUCCUAAAUGAGCCAUAUCGAUGUUUUUUUUUAAAAACCGUGUACAAGUCAUCACACACAGUUACAUUUUUAGUACUACGUGUAGUAUUGCGAUAUCUUUCUUUCACGAAUACGCAAAGUCGGCGUAUUAUUACAUUGAUAGAAGAAGUNNNNNNNNNNAGAGGCAAGCAUCAUGGACAUGGUGCCCGAAGCACAUAGACGUGAGAUGCUCGACCCAAACAAACACUAACACAGCUAAAUUCGUCGACCAGAGAAAUAGUCCGACCAACAUCUAUGAAGCCAGCACCAUGGACACCGCGAGUAAACAAGACAACGCCUUAACAAAGGCGAACAACACCAAGUUGUUGCCUUGUCCAAUCCAUAAAAUCGGACCUAGGGUUUCCCCCGAUGAUAUUGGAGAGUGGGGCACAAAUAAUUGACAUGGCAACACUUCCUAGACGGGGCGGUGCCUACGGGUGUCGCGGCUGCUAGAAUAGAAUCUGUAGAUUUUGGCCUGGCGGGUUGUGAAUGUGGGUGAAUCCCCGGACAAGACGGGGUCUGCAAGGAGCGCAGAUCGACAUCACCAUGACUGAAGAACCAGGGGCGCCGGUGAGACCAAGGAGCUAGAAAGGAGACACAACUCCUAGAGCGUGCCAAAACCGAAGCAGACCUCUUGUAAUUUUCUGUUAUAUGUAGGACUAGAUACCUGUACAAAUAUACAUCAAAUGUUAUCAAUUAACACUUGAAUGCAUCUAAAAGUAAUAUCUAUGUCACAUAACUUGUGUAUAUUACCUUAUCAUAAUUCUACAUUACUCCAUGUAAAGCAACAUAUGAUGCAAACUUAUCUUCAAAUUUUGGAUGCAUUUGUGCCAUUUCUCAGGAGAAAUCAUUCAUUCUCAAGGUCCAUUCGAGAAAUGGCCAUUUAACUUUGUCAUAAUACUUCUCAACGCCAAUGUUGAAUACUACUUCACUCCUGUCCUUCUUGUGCAUCUCCCUCACAGUCUCAUGUAGGAUUGUUACUCAAAUAAAGUAUAUUCAUUCCUUGCAUGAACACCGAUUUGGGAUGGCCUAACAACAUGUCUAGCAACCGACUUGAGCCUAUUAGUACCAACUUUGGUGAAGAUUUUGAAGCUUCCAUAAAUGAGGCAUAUCGGUCUCUCUUUUGUGAAAACCGUGUGCAAGUCAUCACACACAGUUACAUUUUUAGUACUAUGUGUAGUAUUGCGAUAUCUUUCUUUCACGAAUACGCAAAGUCGGCAUAUUAUUAUAUUGAUAGAAGAAGUUAGAAUGAAUACACGAGGUGGUACAACACAUAGCACGGAGGCAAGCAGCAUGGACAUGGUGCCUGGAGCACAUAGACGUGAGAUGCUCGACCCAAACAAAGACUAACAUGGCUAAAUUUGUCGACCAUAGAAAUAGUCCGACCAACAUCUAUGAAGCCAGCAUUCGACCGCGCGCCACCUUCCGAGAUGGGAGCACCACAGCCGCCCUGCCGCGCGCGAGGCCCAGGAUACCGGUGACCCGGCCGCCCCGCCAGCCCGCCGUUGCGUCCCGCGGCCGCCCAACGCCGCCACCCGAGGAGUCCGCCCGCGCCGAAGCCCCACGAGCAGAGGGGGAAGAAGGGCCCCGCCGCCGUCGUGCUCACCGGGCUUUGCCCGAUAUCGCGUGCCGACGGCUGCGGGGAGGAGGGGAGGGAGGCGGGUCGAAGUGGAUGGCGGCUAGGGUUCCCCCCGGCGCGCACGUAUGUUGAUUUCCAUUAUUACAUGACAUCUCUUGGUCCCCUCUCGAAAAUGCACGUCGUAUGUUGUAUGUUGAUUUCCAUUAUUACAACUUGUGACUUGACAUCUCUUGGUAGUUCAAUUUCUUUGAUAACAAAAUGAUCAUAUUUUUAGUUAUUCCAUUGUUAUGUCGUCUCUCCAUCCCCUGGUUGAAUGGCACAAGGACACAAAAAUAACUAACAAACAAAAGCAAAAAAACUACGCAAGUGCAAAGAUCCUGGGUCUCCCCGACCUCCCGGCGCCGAUACCUAUUGUCGAGGGAGACUUCCGGAAUUAGCGGGGACAAGGAUGAGAUGUUGUCUUGCGGCUAGGAUUUUCUUUUUUUGGUUUGGGCUUUUCUUUUUUGGUUGGUGAGUGUGAGUAUUGGUGAGUACAUCCAAGAAAUUCUAGGAAAAGGUAUUGAUCAUUUUUCUGUUGUACAAAAAAAACAUCUCUUAUAGAAGUACAUACAUAAAUGAUCAUAUGUUUUACAUUUAGGAAAUUUACUUCAAUUAAUUACACAGUACCACAAUUUUUAUCAGAGAUUUUUGAAGUGCUCAAGUUUACGUACGAAAACCUGCCAAGGAGUGCAGUGGACCUUCCUUUUUCUUUUACUAAAUCAGCGGCAGGAGCUCUGACAUUCAAUAUAAGUAGAAGAAAGUUGCCCAGUAAACUAAGGACGAAAACCAACAUCUACUCCCUCUGAUGGGAAUUGGGAAAUAACUGUCGUGGUUUUAGUUCAAAUUAGUCGCCCUGCCAUUCUACUAUGCAUGAAUCGGCAGUUAUCUUGGUAAAUAAUGCAUAUAUAUUCAAAAGGUAUUCAUAAUACUUAUACAAUCCGAUCGUAUACAUCAUACAUCAUGCUUUUAUGGAUGCACGGGUAAUAUAUAUAUCUGCUGGUCACAUCCAUGUUUCUGGCACUAUAUAACUGCCAAUUAUAAUUCAUGUAUGUCGUAGUUUAACGAGAACAGACGCGAGACCACCUUUUGCUUGGAGAGCAAACGGUCUGUUUAUUCGUAUAUAUGUAAACCCUUCACUGCAGUAAUUCUGGAUCCUUCAUUGGCUCAGGUAAUUCUCCACUGAACCAUGACAAGAUUUUAAGCAUACGCUUUUACAAACCUCAGUUGCAGGGAUAUUUGUUUAUUGGGCAGGUAUGGCAACCGUAGCAAUCUGAACCUGGCCUCCCGUUGAGUACGUUCACCUCCGACGGCAUUUCGCCUGUCUGCAGCCCAUCAUCUCCCGCCAACCUCCUCGCCGGAGCUGCAGCAGCAGAGGAUGUAAUCACCAGUAGGACCAACACAAGGACUGUAGCUGCCUUCAUGCUUCACAAGCGGUGGUAUAGAUCUGCGUGCAAAAGAAAUAAAAAAUUGAGGAAAUGGGCUUAUGGAAACAAAAGGGAUUCGAAGGGUGAAUUGCUUGGUAUUUACUUGGAUCGAACCUGAAGUGCCUUGCUUAAUUGUGUUUAAUCUUGAUCNNNNNNNNNNGAGUUGGAUGUGUUUUUCAGUGUGGGGGAGUUGUGAUAUUUAUAGGGGGUUGGCAACUUGGCAUGCAGUAGUGUACUGCUCUUGUGUGUAGAUCUUCGCCACUUGCAAUGUCAGAUAUGCAACUAGCAUGAUCAAUCGACAAUAUGAAGUGGUUUAUUUGCAGGAAUUCUCUGGCUCCAUCAAUUGCAGAAAUGACAGGUGAUGGAAUGAUGAAAUAUCUGUGUAUCUUCACUUGUAGACCUAUAUAUAGAUAGCAAAUUGUAGUUAUAUUUAGGGGCACUGUUCUAUUGCAUUGUGACGGCAGCGAGCAAUAUCUGGAGGACAAAUAUGGUUUUAUAGUUGCAUGCAUCUGGACAUCAGAAUAUUUCUAUCAUGACUUAAUCGAAUGUGGUAAUAUCUUGCUGUUAUUAUUAUAAAUAAUGCUUUUAUUAACCUAAAAUAUAGCAUGAAAUGGAUAUGAUACAUGAUGAGGGACACUCCGCCUAGGGUUCGUCCUGAGAUUUCGGAGGACCGGGGCCGAGCUGAAACAUGAGCCAUUUAAUGUAAACACCAUAACAAUGAUUAAUAUAUAUAGGACGCAGAUCUUUGAAACAUGGUGCCAAUGCACGUGACUUGAAAAAACAAUUAAAGAACUAAAUAAGUUAUUUUUUUGUAAAAUUUGUUUGUAACUAACACGGCCUACCGUAAUACUCAUGUGGAAAGUUUCCGGGACAAAUGACUCUUAUGGUAUUCUUAAAUAAAAUCGAACUCUAAAAAAUAUGAAUAGUUAUUUUAAUAUGGUAUCAAUUUUUUUACUGUCUAGGAUACCAUUGUAGUCGUUCCUUCGUGAAAGUUUUCACAGAGAAUUAUGCUAAGUUAUCUUUGUUAAAGAAAGUUCCAGAAUAUUUGGACUCUUCUCUUUAUUUUUAAAACGAAAAAAUAAAUUCGGAUGGAAUGGGACCUGAGACACAUUUCCUUUGGUAGACCCCCCUCCACAAAACAUAGAACGAAAACGUAUUCCCACCUCGUAUUGUACAUUUUUAUACACUACAGGACGUCAUACAUUUUGCAUACGUACGGUAGCCUGUAGUGUAUAAUACGAGGUGGAUAUACGUUUCCUUUCUAUAUUCUGGGAGGGGUUGGGGGUUGGGUGGGGUUCAACCGAAGAACACCUCUUCUAAUUUUCUGUUAUAUGUAGGACUACAUACCAGUACAAAUAUACAUUAAAUAUCAUCAAUUAACACUUGAAUGCAUCUAAUGUAAUAUUUGUAUCACAUAAGUUUUGUAUAUUACCUUAUCAUAAUUCUAGAUUAUUCGAUGCAAAGCAACAUAAGGUGCAAACUUAACUUAAAACUUUGGAUGCAUUUGCGCCAUUUCUCAGGAGAAAUCAUUCAUUCUCAAGGUCCACUGGAGAAAUGGCCAUUUAACUUUGUCAUAAUACUUCUCAACGCCAGUGUUGAAUACUACUUCACUCCUGUCCUUUUGGUGCAUCUCGUUCACAGUCUCAUGUAGGAUCAUUACUCAAAUCAAGUAUAUUCAUUCCUUGCAUGAACACCGAUUUGAGAUGGCCGAACGACAUGUCUAGCAACCGACUUGAGCCUAUUAGUACCAACUUUGGUGAAGAUUUUAAAGCUUCCGUAAAUGAGGCAUAUCGGUCUCUUUUUUCUGAAAAUCGUGUGCAAGUCAUCACACAGUUACAUUGUUAGUACUAUGUGUAAUAUUUCGAUAUCUUUUUUUCACGAAUACGCAAAGUCGGCGUAUUAUUACAUUGAUAGAAGAAGUNNNNNNNNNNNNNNNNNNNNNNNNNNNNNNNNNNNNNNNNNNNNNNNNNNNNNNNNNNNNNNNNNNNNNNNNNNNNNNNNNNNNNNNNNNNNNNNNNNNNNNNNNNNNNNNNNNNNNNNNNNNNNNNNNNNNNNNNNNNNNNNNNNNNNNCUGCCCAAAGCACAUAGACGUGAGAUUCUCGACCCUAACAAAGACUAACACGGCUAAACUCGUUGACCAGAGAAAUAGUCCGACCAAACAAGACAACGCCUUCACAAAGGCGAACCACACCAAUUUGCUGCCUCGUCCAAUCCAUAAAACCGGACCUAGGGUUUCCCCUGAUGAUAUUGGAGAGUGGGGCACGAAUAACGGGCAUGACAUCGCUUCCUAGACGGGGCGGUGCCCGUGGGUGUCGCGGCUGCUAGCAUAAAAUCCAUAGAUUUCGCCCUGGCUAAAUUCAAGGAAUCCUAAGCCGUCGGAACACAAAUCAGAGAAGAGCAAGUUGAGUAUAAGCCAAAACAUUGACUAUAGGAAGGAGAGCCACGCCCAACGGCGAAGGAGGCACUGACCAUUGUCGGGCGUUCUUACUCUGGAGGAGGAUAAGAUUGUGUGACUGAGCGGACUGAGCGGUGGUGGGUUGUGAAGGUUGGUGAAUCCCCGGACAAGACGGGAUCUGGAAAGGAGCGUAGAUCCUAAUCAUCGUGACUGAAGCAGCAGGGGGCGCCCCCGAGACCAAGGAGAUAGAAAGGAGACACAACUCCUAGAGCGUGCCAAAACCGAAUCAGACCUCUUGUAAUUUUCUGUUAUAUGUAGGACUACAUACCUGUACAAAUAUACAUUAAAUGUUAUCAAUUAACACUUGAAUGCAUCUAAAAGUAAUAUUUAUGUCAUAUAACUUGUGUAUAUUACCUUAUCAUAAUUCUACAUUACUUGAUGCAAAGCAACAUAUGAUGCAAACUUAACUUAAAAUUUUGGAUGCAUUUGCGCCAUUUCUCAGGAGAAAUCAUUCAUUCUGAAGGUCCACUUGAAAAAUGGCCAUUUAACUUUGUCAUAAUACUUUUCAACGCCAAUGUUGAAUACUACUUCACUCAUGUCCUUCUGAUGCAUCUCGUUCACAAUCUCAUGUAGGAUCAUUAGUCAAAUCAAGUAUAUUCAUUCCUUGCAUGAACACCGAUUUGGGAUGGACGAAUGACAUGUCUAGCAACCAACUUGAGCCUAUUAGUACCAACUUUGGUGAAGGUUUUGAUGCUUUCAUAAUUGAGACAUAUUGGUCUCUUUUUUGUGAAAACUGUGUGCAAGUCAUCAUACACUGUUACAUUUUUAGUACUAUGUGUAGUAUUCCGAUAUCUUACUUUCAUGAAUACGCAAAUUUAGCGUAUUAUUACAUUGAUAGAAGAAGUUAGAAUGAAUAAACGAGGUGGUAUAACGCAUAGCACGGAUGCAAGCAGCAUGGCCAUGGUGCUCGAAGCACAUAGACGUGAGAUGCUCGACCCAAACAAAGACUAACACGACUAAAAGUCGUCGACCAGAGAAAUAGUCCGACCAACAUCUUUGAAGCCAACACCAUGGACACCUCGAGCAAACAAGACAACGCCUUAACAAAGGCGAACCACACCAAGUUGUUGCCUCGUCCAAUCCAUAAAAUCGGACCUAGGAUUUCCCCUGAUGAUAUUAGAGAGUGGGGCACAAAUAACGGCCAUGGCAGUGCUUCCUAGACAGGGCGGUGCCCGCGGGUGUCGUGGCUGCUAGCAUAGAAUCCAUAGAUUUCGCCCUGGCUAAAUUCAAGGAAUCCCAAACCGUCGGAACACAAAUCAGAGAAGAGCAUGUUGAGUAUAAGUCAAAACGUUAACUGUAGGAAGGAGAGCCACACCCGAUGCCGAAGGAGGCACUGACCACCGCCGGACGUUCGUGCUCUGGAGGAGGAUAAGGUUGUGUUACUGAGCGGAAUGAGAGGUGGUGGGUUGUGAAGGUGGGUGAAUUUCCGGACAAGACGGGAUCUACAAAGGAGCGCAAAUCCACGUCACCGGGACCGAAGCAGUAGGGGCGCCGGCAAGCCCAAGGAGCUAGAAAGGUGACACAACUCCUAGAGUGUGCCAAAUCCAAAGAUGCGUCGGGAUGGACGAAAAAACCAAGGGCACCAUCAGGGUGGUGGUGCGGAGAUGUCGAUGAGCCAGCGAGCCGAUGUAGCCAGAAAGAGCACAACUCCCAUGGUGUGCCAGAUCUGAAGCCAUGCAUGUUGGCCCUCAACACAGGAGGGGCGCUGGUCCAGAGCCGCCUGGCGAAGCUGGCCUUAUGCGGAGAGGGGGUGAUGAAGAAGGUUCACACACAACCAAAUCUCCCGGCCGACGCGUUGAAGGAAGCCGUGCAACCUCUUGAGCUUGCGUUGGUUUUCCCUUGAAGAGGAAAGGGUGAUGCGGCGAAGUAGACAAGUCUUUUCGUUAGUUUCUUGAGAACCAAGGUAUCAAUCCAGUAGGAGGAAGAAGCAAGGCCCCAGUAUUAGUACCUACACAAACAAUCAAACACUUGCACCCAACGCUAUAAAGGGGUUGUCAAUCCCUUCAGAGUUAUUUGCAAGGAUGAGAUCUCAUAGAGAUAGAUAUAAAAGAUUGUGGAAAGAAAAGUAAAUAAAUUGCAGGAAUAUAUUUUUGGUUUAUAGAACUGAAAAUAUAAUAUGAAAAAUAGACCCGGCGGCCAUAGGUUUCACUAGAGGCUUCUCUCAUAAAGGAAAAUAAUACAGUGGUUGAACAAAUUACUGUCGAGCUAUUGAUAGAAAACCGAAUAAUUAUGAAGAUAUCCAAGGCAAUGAUUAUGCAUAUAGGCAUCACCUUCGUGUCAAGUAGACCGAAACGAUUAUGCAUCUACUAUUAUUACUCCACACAUCGACCGACUCCUGCCUGCAUCUAGAGUAUUAAGUUCAUGAAGAACAGAGUGACACAUUGAAUAAAAAGACAUGAUGUAGAGGGAUAUACUCAAGCAAUAUGAUGAAAACCCCAUCUUUUUAUCCUCCAUUGCAACAAUACAAUACGUGCCUCACUACCCCUACUAUGUCAGUGGAUGAGGACACUGCAAGAUUGAACCCAAAACUAAGCACUUCUCUCAUUGCAAGAAUUACCAAUCUAGUUGGCCAAACCAAACCAAUAACUCGAAAAGACAUGCAAAGAUAUGAAAUCAUGCAUAUAAGAAUUUAGAAGAGACUCAAAUAAUAUUCAUGUAUAAUCUGAACAUAAACUCACAAUUCUUUGGAUUUCGACAAACACACCGCAAAAGAGUAUUACAUCGGAUAGAUCUCCAUGAAGAUCAUGAAGAACAUGUUAUUGAAGAUCAAAGAGAGAGAAGAAGCCAUCUAACUACUAGAUAUGGGCCCGUAGGUCUGUGGUGAACUACUUACACAUUAUCGGAGGGGCAAUGGAGUUGAUGUAGAUGCCCUCCGUAAACAAUUCCCCCUCUGGCAGAUUACCGGAAAAGGCUCCCAGAUUGGAUCUCACAGGAAUAGAGACUCCCGACAGCGUAAAAGUAUUUUCGUGUCUCUUUUUGGCGAUACGAGAAUAUUUGGGAAAUUUAUAGGCCAAAGAAUAGGGUUAGGAGACCUGCAAGGGACCCACAAGCCAGGGGCGCGACCACCCCCUAGGGCGCGCCCUACAGGCUUGUGGCCUCCCGGGAGAUACCCUGCCCCCUACUCCAAGUCUGCUGCAUUUCUUCUGGUCCAAGAAAAAAAUUUCCGGAGAUUUUAUUCCGUUUACUAUUACUUAUCUGCAAUACUCAAAAACGUGGAAAAAAACAGAAACUGGCACUAGGCUCUAGAUUAAUAGGUUAGUCCCAAAAAAAAUAUAAAACAACAUAUAAAUGCAUAUAAAACAUUCAAAAUAGAUAAUAUAAUAGCAUAGAACAAUAAAAAAUUAUAGAUACGUUUGAGACCUGGAGCUAAACAUGUGGGGUGAGGAUGGUGUGGGUGGGAUAGGAGGGAGCACAACGAGGAGGACGUCACUCGUGAAGCCCCUCGGACACAGUAACACGAGAUGUUGGGGCCCGGCGGCGAAUAGGUCCUUCGAGACGCCCGAAUGGAGCGACACGAGGGUCGAGAGCGAGGGAGAGGGUCAGGUUGGUAAUAUUGCUGCAUCACGCACUAAGUUUUUGCGAUAUGUACAUAUCACACACACUUUUUAUCCACUGUUACGCUUUUGUGCAACAUACAAAUUUGUGAAGGACUAUGAUGAACCUAUAUUAGAAUAUUCUCAUAUUAUUAUUUUCUUGUCAAAACAAACACAAUACCUCACACAUUCAAUACAUGCAUGAAAAGGAGAGUUACCCCGUAAAUAAACCGUGUGUAAACCAAUCUAAGGCCAGUCUUGUGCGGGACCUCCUAUUUCGUAGAGUAUGCGUCAGAAACCAGCCGUGCACACUGCCUGCUGCCGUGCGUGCCCUUCUGGCCUGGCCCAUGUGCAGGUAGGGAAAACCCCUGUUUUCUUUUUUUUCUAUAAUCUAGGAAAUCAAAAGUUUUUACAUUUCAAAAAACUUGUGCAUGAAUUCAAAAUGUUUUCACAAUUUCAAAUAAUUUUUUGAGAAUUCAAAAAAUCUUCCUAAUUUUGAAAAUAGUUCAUGAUUCCUGAAAAUGUUAACGAUUUAAAAAAGAUAGUGAAAUAAAAGGAAUUCAUGAAUUAACAGAACGUUCACGGAUAUUUAAAACAUGUCCAUGAAUUUUCAAAAUAUUCAUGAUUUUCAAAAAUAAGUCAUGAACAAAAAAAUAUUUCAGAAUUUUUUAAGAUUGCAAAAACAGUACAAAAUUUAAUAUAAUGUUUACUAACUUGUAAGAAAAUGUACAUAUUUUUUAAAAGUAUCAAGGUUUGACAAAAUUCAUGAUUUUUAAAAAAUAUUCACGAAUUUAAAAUAUGGUGGCCAAUUAAAAAAGAAUAAAAAUGAACAAUGAAGACAAAAAGGAAAAUAAAAAGUAACUAGAAACAGAAAAUAAAAAGGAAACCCCGGAAGAGAAAAGGAAAUAAAGAAUCGAAAUAAAAAACAAUGAAUAAAAUCCCGCUCAAAACCCAGUAACUGCCGGCCCAAACAAAAACGCGCUACGAGUCGCGCCGUCGCAAGCCGGCGACCCGGGGAGCUCCUAGUCGGCGCUUAAGCGCCGGCUAGGAGAACCAGCGCCUAACGGCCCGCAAAAUAGGCCGGUCAAGUUCCAGGACUGAUUCUUUUUAUAAACAAAAUUUGAACACAAAAUGUUCAUAAAAGCGAACAUGGUUCCUAAAUUUUGUUAGCAAAGUUCACGAAUUUGGAAAAAUUCAUUGUGUUCCAAAAACGAAGUUGACAAAUUUUUAGAAAGUUCAAGGAUUUCAAAAAUUAGUUCCUGAAUUUGAAAAAGGUUUUAGAAAAAUUUCGUUGAAAUGAAUUUUUUUUCACGAAUCUUAAGAAAGUUCAUACAUUUCGAAAAAGGUUCAUCCAUUGCAAAAAAAGUUCAUCAAGUUUCAAAAACAAAUCAUCAAAAUUAGAGAAAAGUUCACGGAUUUUGAAAAUUAGUUCAUGAAUUUGGAAAACAAUUAAUCAAAACAAGGAUGCACUUUAAAAAAAAUGAAAUUAUAUAAAAAUAAUUCUAAAAUUGAAAAAUAAUUAAAAUAUUAAAUAAAAGAUAAACAAAUAAAAAAAACAAAGAAAUAAAAAAUCCCGGGAAAUAUCCCUCCCGCUGGGCUGGCUCAUGACAGGAUGCACAUUAACCUGCGCAUGCAGCGUCGAAUAGGAUUUGCCGGCAACCCGCGGAUUAAAUAGGAUGUCCCGCCUUGUGUAAUCUAGAGUGGCUGUGUAAUUAUUGAUUAUACUACAAAUUGACAGUCAUCUUCGGGCAUAAUACGUAUACAAUCCAAGGGUAAUACCCUGAUGCAGUAAGGUGCUGGUGCAACUGAUAAGGUUUUUUUAUUAAUUAUAUAAAAAGUUAAAAAAUUCAGAAACCUACUUUUGUAUUCGUAUACAAAGUUUAGCACAUGAAUACACUUCCAUUGACCCCAGGCGAAAAAAAACUCCAGGUAAAAACUAAUUAACAGUAACUUGCAUAUGUUCUUAAUCUUUUUUUAUCGCGCACAAUAUGCAGGGAAUUAUUUCUUCGCGAAACUUUUUGUAACGAUACAACAUUUGGGCAUGUAUGUUUCCAGAAAUUUUCAACACUGUUUUGACCUUUUCCAAAUCACUAAAUUAUUUUUGCAUCUUGUGGCUGGUCUCUCAGCCGAGUAUGCCCCUUAACAUCCAGGAGGACUCUGCUGGGGGGAUCGUUGGAACUCGUGGUUGCACCUGGUGUGGAGGUUGAUGGAUGUUCAAAUCUUUGACCAGCCAGACACCAUUCACUAGAAAUUAUCUAUGAAUGAUAUUUCUCUGUGAAAUCUAUGUACUUGGAUCUAAUUGACUCUGUGCCAAUCCCGGAAUCAUUUCAUAUCUGGAAGAUUCAAGUUAUUCUAAGAAUCAAAAUUUUCACGUGGUUUGUCCACAAGGAUGUGAUUUUAAUCAAGGAUAAUUUGGUAAUCAAAGUGAAAAUGGGUGGGUAGUUCUCCAUGUUGUUUAUGUGACAAGGAUGAAACAAUACAACACCUCUCUCUUGAUUGUCCUCUUGCUAAACUUCUCUGGCAUACGAUACAUAUAGGUUUGAAUGUUACCUCUCCAAUUAGUAUCAACACGUUAUUUGGAAUGUGGCUAACUGGUGUGUAAUCAAUUAUUGCAGGACAUAUUGAGAUAGGGAUAUGCACACUACUUUAGGCUAUACGGAACUGUAGAAAUGAUAUGCUCUUUAACAAACGGGUUAUUUAUAGGGCCACUGCUUGGAUCCGUAUGCUACUCGUUACUCACUCAUGCGGACUCCAAAGAGGUUUUGGUUACUGGGUGUAACCGAUGAAAGACAGCAUGGGUUAUCUAUAACCGAUUUGGAUGAUGAUCUAAUAAUAGCCUCGGUAUUUAGUCAUCUUGGAUUAUUUUUCGCCAGUUAUAACAACUUUCUAUCUUUACUCCAGUCAUGCUCCUUUUAUGAGCCAGUACUGAAUCUUAGAUUUUUUUGUUGCUUUAUUUAUGAAUAAAUUAGCUGCAUGCAUCAAUUAACAAGACAAUUUUCUGAUGCAGAGGCCCGAGGCCUUCCUCAUUUCCAAAAAAAUAAUAUCUCGUGCACCAGCAACCAAGUGCCACAAAUUCGGACUCUACAAUCCAAAGGUAUUCAUAUUAUAAUACAAUCCGAAUGUAUACAUGAUACAUCAUGCAUUUUUGGAUGCAAGGAUAAUACAUGAGAAAAAAAUACCAUACUAUAAAAAAUAAGAUGACCCCUGAAAAUAUGGUGUUAGCGUGUAUAUAGCAUUCUAUUAACGAGACAUUGUAUAUGAAUGAAAUUAACAAGACAAUUUUCUGCACGUUAUAGCACGCUAUUUCUCUUAAGGAUAAUACAUGCUAAUUUUAUCCUUUAUGGCACAAUAAUAACCGGUUACCAUUCAGCAUGGAUGGUGAGCUAUCUCAAAAUUAAUGAAUAACCGGUUAUGGUACUUUCUUUGUUCUUCUAAAUUUAGAGCAACUUCAAUGGAACGAUUCAAACGGACGGCGAUGGAGAUAAACAGCACGUACCGACCAAGUGUCGCGGUAGGUUGGCUGGUGCAGGCAGGUUUGAUAACUCAGUAAGAGAGUAUGACCACUUUGGGAAAUCCCCUAGCUUUCGUCCCUCACUGUCUACAGCGUAGCCGUCAUGGAACCCCAGUGUCUUCGUCAAGCAUUCCACUCUAGUUUUCGCUACCAGUGUUUCAACAACACACAAUACCGCUCGUCCGUUUUUUGUCCGUUUGGGUCGGCCGUUCGCCCGGCAUCCGCCCUGUUUUAGAUAUGGGCCGGCAGCGCGCCCAAGACGCCGAUCCAUAUGUGCCGGUGUGGUCGGCUGCCCGCUCUAUUUUGCAUGAAUUUGCAUAGUUUUAAUCAAAUAACAUAAUUUGGACCGAAUAAAAUAGCAUAGUUAUUACAAGCCGAAUAAAAAUAAAAAUGUCUCACAUAGUUUUGCAAACGAAUAAAAGAAGAUAAAUCUAUUGGUUGCCAACAUGAGCUAACAUAUGCUCAAUCAAAUCAUUCUGCAGUUGCACGUGAGUUUUCCAAUCACGCAUGUCUUGAUGAAAUUGGGCGAACUGUUCAAACGUUGCCGCUCCUCCAUGCUCAGGCACAACAUUCUCACCCUGAAACUGAAAUCCUUGAUCGUACAGACGUUCCGGGCGCUCGUCUUCUACGAUGAUAUUAUGCAUGAUCACAUAAGCAGCCAUCACCUCCCAUAGUUUCUGCGUGCUCCAGGUAUUAGCAGGAUACCGAACAAUGCCCCAUCGAGAUUGCAAAACACCAAAGGCACGCUCGACAUCCUUCCUAGCACUCUCUUGCUCAUGGGCAAAUCUUUUCCUCUUCUAUCCGACAGGGUUGGGUAUUGUCUUGACAAUAGUGGCCCAUUGAGGAUAGAUACCGUCAUCCAGGUAGUAUCCUUUGUCGUAGUUGUGGCCGUUGACAGUAAAGUUCACCGGUGGGCUGUUGCCUUCGGCAAGCCUAGCAAACAUGCACGUUGAUAUCAUUGUGUGAUCCGACCAUGCCAAAGAAAGAGUGCUAGAUCCAGAUAUCUUCAGACGCCAUGGCCUCUAGUAUGACAGUGCAAGCCCUGACAUGGCCCUUAUACUGCCUUUGCCAAGCAGAAGGGCAGUUCUUCCACUCCCAGUGCAUGCAGUCUAUGCUACCAAGCAUCCCUGGGAAGCCCCUGCUGGCAUUCAUAGCCAACAAACGGGUUGUAUCUUCAGCAGUCGGCUCUCUCAGGUACUCAGGGCCAAACACAUCAAUAACAGCCUUACAGAACUUAUACAUGCACUCUAGGCAAGUAGACUCGCUCAUACGGACGUACUCGUCAAUGAGAUCACCGAGCACUUCGUAUGCAAGCAUUAGGAUGGCGCCAGUGCAUUUCUGAUAAGAGGAAAAAUCUAUCUUGCCAAGGGCAUCCUCUUUGCACUCGAAAUAGUCAUCAUAGCCGACCACCCCCUUUCUAAUACGGUUGAAAAGAUGCCUACUCAUACGGAAACGGCGACGAAUUUUUUUAUGUUUGAACAGCAGGUUUGUUGUAUCAAAGUAGUCCUUCCAAUGAAGGAAAUGACAGCUCUCUCAGUUGCGAUUCAACGCCGGAAGGUGGUCCGGAAUGGAGCCACGGAACAACGACCGCUGGCUGUUGAGGUAGUGAUGGACUAACACGGCAGCCAAUAUCUCCUCCUGGUUAUCGGACGACGAAUCGUCGGAGUCGCAAAGGAAAUUGUGAAAAAAGAACUCAUCCGUGGAGUCCAUUUUAUACCUUGGCAAACUGUCGAACAGCUUGCGGGCGUCGACGAAGGAGACGGCCGACAAAGGGAGUCGCGACGCGCACGGACCAACUAACUGGCCUGCCGGCGUCCAACGAGUGGGCCGACGUCCGACGAGCGUGCCGGCCGGUGAGGAUCUGGCCGGGCGGCGAGGCGACUUCUUGGUCGGGGCGGGCUGUGUGGUGGUGGUGGAGGGUGGGAAGCAGUCGGCUCCCCGGCGGCAAGACGGCGGCGGCGUGCGACGUGGGAGUGGGCGGCGUUGCUGGCCGGAUGUGGAGUCGCCGGCAAAAAUGGACGGCGGCGUCGGCGACGAAGGAGGCGGGCGAGGGUUGGAUGGGGGGAAGCCGAUGUGUCACCGACCAGCGGGCCCGUAGAGGAGAAGGUGAGCGUGUACACGUCCGUCUCCGCGCCGACGCAAAUCGAUCCGGCUAAAAAAUGGAUCAGAAAUGGAUCGUCCGCGGACGAAAACCGAACGCGCGUUCGUUUGGGUCGACAGGUUGGGCCUUUUAUGUUCGGAGACAACGUGGAGUUCCGUGGAGCCAAAGAAAGGAUGCAGCGGCGGCGCGGACGUGGAUUCGGCGGAAGACGGCAAAAGUUGGGCUGGGUUGGGACUGGGAGCAAAAGGACUGGACAGGAGCAUCUGAGGACGAACCGAAGAGGAAGCUUGCAGGAACGUUCAUGUGGCAACACGAGACACGUGCGAGCCAACUUGUCCAAUUUCUCCACGACGCUCCAGCCAAUCUGGGCAACGCCGGAAGCAUCCAACGGCACCGGACCGGGUAGCUUGGGAAGAAAGCACUCCCAAGCUCAACCUCUCUAUAAGUAUGUAUGUGCAGUGCACAGAAAAAAGUAUCAUAGCAUACACUAGAAUCCAUCUCCUGGCUUCAAUCAACCCACAGGGCUAAGCACUACGCGUCGAGAGGGAGAUGGCGAAUCUGUUCCUGAAGCAGGCGAAGCACUAUGCGGCGGCGCGGCCGGACUACCCGGCCGAGCUCUUCCAGUUCAUCGCCUCCAAGACGGCGCGCCAUGACCUCGCGUGGGACGUCGGCACCGGCAGCGGCCAGGCCGCAGUCUCGGUGAGCCUCCCCCCGCCCCCGCUUCUCUCCAUCCCCGUCGACCGCCGUCCAUGCAUGAGUUUCUAUAUAUGUUUGCCUUUUCUUGAGCCAGUUCAUGCUUGAAAUGAAAUCAGCUUUUGACUUUAAAUCUUUGAUUGAAUUUCGCUUACGGCGUGCGCUUUUAAAUCUUUAUUAUGCCAACGUCCCUUUCAGUGGACCCAUUCUGAGCUUCCAUGUUCGUGCCAACUUUCAACCACUUGACCAGCAUCUCCUUUUUAGCUAGUUGGAAUCUUACCAUCUCACUACCUCCAAACAUUUCUUGCGUUCAACAUCAGCAAUCUCUAGUGGAAUUCAGAUACACUUUGUACAGCAAGCAAUUGACUUGUCCCGGCCUCUCGUGUCUGCAGCUGGCGAAGCUGUACAAGAAGGUGGUGGGCACGGACACGAGCGCGCAGCAGCUGGCCUACGCGCCGGCCCUCCCCAACGUGCGGUACGCCCACACACCGGCGGACCUGCCGCUCGAGGGCAUCCACGCGGCCGUCGCGCCGCCGGGCUCCGUCGACGUGGUCACCGUGGCGCAGGCAUUCCACUGGCUCGACCUGCCGCGCUUCUACGCGCAGACGCGCUCCCUCCUGCGCGCGCACGGCGUACUGGCCGCAUGGUGCUACACGGAGCCCCGCGUGGGCGCGGCCGUCGACGCCGUCUUCUGGCGCCUCUACAACGGCUCGCAGCCGCACUGGGCGCCCAACCGGAAGAUGGUCGACGACGAGUACCGCAGCGCCGACUUCCCCUUCGACCCCGUCGACGGGGAGGAUCACACGGGCCCCUUCGAGUUCUCCACGGAGCGCAGCAUGGACCUUGACGACUACUUCACCUACAUCAAGUCUUGGUCCGCGUACCAGACCGCCAA
rnacentral:lncRNA from 1 species